rnacentral:lncRNA from 10 species
GCAGAAUUUGACUGGCAGAGGAUGUGUUUAUACUUAGUCUCACUAUCAAUUCUCCCUAAAAUGGAAAACCUGCAACAAAGGAUGCACUAAAAUGCUGCUCCCCAGGGCAGGCUUGUGUCAGCACAAGAGGCAGUUACAGGGAGAUCAUGUUAAGGGAUUUGCACUUAAUAACCUUGGCACCGGUCCAGCCAAGGCUGGGAAAAGUACUCCCAGUUCUCUACCCCAGCAGCAAAUGAUGUAAUUCACGCUACAAGGAGGCACGUCCGCUGACCUGGCUUGGCAGAGAGACAAAGAGACUUAGAUGAAUGUAGCCCCAGAUGCAGAGUUCAGAACUAUGAAGUAAGUGUGAAGUGCUCGAUGUGCUGAGAAAGAAAAAGGAAAGGUCUUCAGACUGAUGGAGUGUGACAGGAUCCAGAUGAGCCCUCUUCUUGAGUUGAAUUACCUUUUGCAUCUCAAGCGUGGUGAGCAGCUGUUGCGGAGUCGGUAGAGCCUGGUCUGAGUAAGGAGGAGCCCGGCAGCGGCCCUGGUGGGGUCGGAGAGAGGGCACUAGUGCUGUUUCUAUUUGGGGACGCCGGGGGAAGGCGCCGCCGCAGGGUCAUUGCAGCGCCUCCCCAGCGCGCAGGGCUGUGGAUCCCACAGCAGCCUCCGGGCCAGGUUCCGGGAUGCUUGGGGAUGGCGCGGCUGCACCUGUCACUCGCCGCUCACUCCUGCUCCGGGGAGACCCCGCGCUGACCUCUGCCCUUGCGCCUGACAGCUGGGCCCCGAGCCUCCC